AUCUUCGGGGCAGGGUGAAAUUCCCUACCGGUGGUGAUAGCCCACGAGCUAGUUUUUAGCAUGAUUUGGUGAAAUUCCAAAGCCGACAGUAAAGUCUGGAUGAGAGAAGAUA
rnacentral:ncRNA from 1 species